rnacentral:misc_RNA from 1 species
UAACGUACGAUCGUUGAUGAUAUUACCGUCUAAUUUUUCGUUCUCCGUUAAAUCGUUCAACGCCGAUACCGAUUACGUACGUUUCAUUUUCGUAGGUAACACCAUGUUAAUGUAAGAUAAGAGAAAUAAUCAGCGAAACAACCACGAAUGAUCCGAAUAAAUCGUUCUUUUUCGCAAAAAGAUGAUCGUUUCUGUCCAUUUGGCACUUGGAUCUCUUCAGAUUUCUCCGCUUGAACGCAUCUCGUCCGGCCCGCGACACACGACUCAUGAUUUCUUCAACUCCUGGAUACAUUUUAUAAGGUGCAGUUUGUCCGCUUCGUAUCCUGUCAAUGUUUGCCUAAAUUCGUCGAAGAAAAUAGUUACGUUUCGUUGUUACCUUUCACGGAUGAUGGUGUUUUCCAUCUAUCGUUUUUUAUAUACGCCAGAGAAGAAUUGCAUAGAGCUGAGUGAGCUCCAUUGAUCACGGAAAACUUAAUUACGAUCGAGCGCCAGUGAAAUAUAAAUCGAAUCAGGAAUCACGCUCGACAACAAAAAUAUUUCAGCUUUAAUCUGCGAUCGUUAAUGGAAUUAUAUAUCGCUCGAAGCUGUCACAUAAUGCUCAUCCGUUGCAAAUGAGUCGUAAUAAAGCUCAUUCGACAACGUUAAAUAGAUUUUCAUCCUUCUUAUAUUAAAUAUCUUCGAAAUUCGAUAUCAUUUUUCUCUUAUUUCUCCUGCAUUUUCAUUUUAUCCUUCCUUAACUAUAUCCAGCAAAGACGUACACAGUUGCUUCUUUCUCUCUCCCUCUCUCCCUCUCCAUCUCUCCAUCUCUCUCUUUCUCUGUGUUACGCCACGAGGCUUACCACGGGCUGUAUUUUCUAACCGUCGCUCGCGGCCCUACAAUGUCGCAGUCAGAUCGUCUUAUCUGACUGCCGGAUCAUAUACAAUGUAUCGACGAGCGCAUAGCUGUCGCCAAGCAGCGAGCUCUCGAAACGUCGAAUUUUGUCCGUUACGUUUUCCACGCAAGAACAGACAUACGUGAUUAUAGGCGUGAACGGUGGCGUGACCUAAGCAUAGUGGGGGUCGUCUUAAAAAUGAGACAAAGAAAUCAUCUAAAGUCGAUCAGUUCCUUGUGACGCGUCGAACGUUACAUAUUGAAUCGAAUCUAACGCAUAACGUCUAUCUCAAGCUGCGAAGUGCGAUAGGUCUCGUUAUAAGCAAACCGCUAACCAAACCUUGACUGUUAUCCUUUUCGUUUUUAAUUGUUGAUCGUUGACUGAACUUGUUGUUUCGUUAUUUUUAUUAAACUUUUAUCAACCAAUCC